GGGGAGUACGACCGCAAGGUUGAAACUCAAAGGAAUUGACGGGGGCCCGCACAAGCGGUGGAGCAUGUGGUUUAAUUCGAAGCAACGCGAAGAACCUUACCAGGUCUUGACAUCCUUUGACCACUCUGGAGACAGAGCUUUCCCUUCGGGGACAAAGUGACAGGUGGUGCAUGGUUGUCGUCAGCUCGUGUCGUGAGAUGUUGGGUUAAGUCCCGCAACGAGCGCAACCCUUGAUUUUAGUUGCCAGCAUUUAGUUGGGCACUCUAAAGUGACUGCCGGUGCAAGCCGGAGGAAGGUGGGGAUGACGUCAAAUCAUCAUGCCCCUUAUGACCUGGGCUACACACGUGCUACAAUGGAUAGUACAAAGGGUCGCGAAGCCGCGAGGUGGAGCUAAUCCCAUAAAACUAUUCUCAGUUCGGAUUGUAGGCUGCAACUCGCCUACAUGAAGCCGGAAUCGCUAGUAAUCGUGGAUCAGCAUGCCACGGUGAAUACGUUCCCGGGCCUUGUACACACCGCCCGUCACACCACGAGAGUUUGUAACACCCGAAGUCGGUAGGGUAACCUUUAUGGAGCCAGCCGCCGAAGGUGGGACAGAUAAUUGGGGUGAAGUCGUAACAAGGUAGCCGUAUCGGAAGGUGCGGCU
rnacentral:rRNA from 1 species